UCUCCCUGAGACUUUAAGUCUCCUGAAGGAACGUUAAAGACGAUGACGUUGAUAGGCCGGGUGUGUAAGCGCAGCGAUGCGUUGAGCUAACCGGUACUAAUGAACCGUGAGGCUUAACCUUAC
rnacentral:rRNA from 1 species